ACGGGUGAGUAACACGUGGGUAACCUGCCUCAUAAAGGGGAAUAGCCUUUCGAAAGGAAGAUUAAUACCGCAUAAGAUUGUAGUACCGCAUGGUACAGCAAUUAAAGGAGCAAUCCGUUAUGAGAUGGACCCGCGUCGCAUUAGCUAGUUGGUGAGGUAACGGCUCACCAAGGCGACGAUGCGUAGCCGACCUGAGAGGGUGAUCGGCCACAUUGGGACUGAGACACGGCCCAGACUCCUACGGGAGGCAGCAGUGGGGAAUAUUGCACAAUGGGGGAAACCCUGAUGCAGCAACGCCGCGUGAGUGAUGACGGUCUUCGGAUUGUAAAACUCUGUCUUCAGGGACGAUAAUGACGGUACCUGAGGAGGAAGCCACGGCUAACUACGUGCCAGCAGCCGCGGUAAUACGUAGGUGGCAAGCGUUGUCCGGAUUUACUGGGCGUAAAGGGAGCGUAGGUGGAUAUUUAAGUGGGAUGUGAAAUACUCGGGCUUAACCUGGGUGCUGCAUUCCAAACUGAAUAUCUAGAGUGCAGGAGAGGAAAGUAGAAUUCCUAGUGUAGCGGUGAAAUGCGUAGA
rnacentral:rRNA from 1 species